AAGGCUCCCCUCACAGAAGACAUUCCUGAGGACUACUAGGUUGGCAGGAUGACUCUCUGAGUGAUAGCCAUGUUAUCCUGGAUAUCAUUCUCCCGUGAGUUCUAGACGUCUCCCUGCACCAUAUACACCAACCAGGACCUGAGGUGAAGACUCAGGGCCACACCUUCUAAACCUUCCCAAGGAGUUCCACCAACUCAGGGUCAAGCUUUCAAACACAUGAGCCUACGGAUCCAUUCUCAUCCAAACCACCACACGUUCCCUGGACAAAAAGUGAAGUAAACCACCUUCACUUAGCUGAACCAACAUAGUUUCUGCUCAUUCAAUCAAUCUAUCAAUCUCCAGAAGAUAGAUAGGUUCACCGAGCAAAGCUGUAAACAUUGAACCACAGAAUGAUGUGGGUAUCACACCCAGGAUACAGCAUGGAGUGAAGUGUUGAAGACUGGGUAGAGCAGCCUAGGAAGCCUGCAACAUUUGAAACAUCUCCAGUUUAUUGAAAAGAAGGAGAAGAGGAGGAGGAAGAGGAGGAAGAGAAAGAAG
ensembl:lncRNA